GGGGAUGUGGUGUAACGGGAGCACACCGCGGUCGCAUCGCGGAAAUAAGGGUUCGAUUCCCUUCAUCUCCA
rnacentral:tRNA from 1 species